rnacentral:rRNA from 1 species
UACGUAGGCAGCGGAGCGUUGUUCGGAGUUACUGGGCGUAAAGGGUGUGUAGGCGGUUGUUUAAGUUUGGUGUGAAAUCUCCCGGCUCAACUGGGAGGGUGCGCCGAAUACUGAAUGACUUGGAGUGCGGGAGAGGAGAGUGGAAUUCCUGGUGUAGCGGUGAAAUGCGUAGAUAUCAGGAGGAACACCGGUGGUGUAGACGGCUCUCUGGACCGUAACUGACGCUGAGACACGAAAAGCGUGGGUAGCAAACAGG